GUAAGGGAUAUUGCACAAUGGGCGCAAGCCUGAUGCAGCAACGCCGCGUGCGCGAUGAAGGCCUUCGGGUCGUAAAGCGCUUUUCGGGCUGACGAGCAGGGACAGUAGGCCCGGAAUAAGUGUCGGCUAACUACGUGCCAGCAGCCGCGGUAAAACGUAGGACGCAAGCGUUAUCCGGAGUUACUGGGCGUAAAGGGCGGGUAGGCGGCAGGUCAAGUUGGACGUGAAAGCGCCCGGCUCAACCGGGCGAGGCCGUGCAAAACUGACCGGCUGGAGGGCAGCAGAGGAGCGUGGAAUUCCGGGUGGAGUGGUGAAAUGCGUAGAUAUCCGGAGGAACACCAGAGGCGCAGGCGGCGCUCUGGGCUGCCCCUGACGCUGAACCGCGAAAGCCAGGGGAGCGAACGGGAUUAGAAACCCCGGUAGUCC
rnacentral:rRNA from 1 species